rnacentral:rRNA from 1 species
UUUCGCAAUGCCCGAAAGGGUGACGAAGCGACGCCGCGUGAGUGAGGAAGGCCUUCGGGUUGUAAAGCUCUGUCAGGAGUUAAGAAAUAUAAGUGUGUUAAUACCACAUUUAUUUGACGAAGGCUCCAAAGGAAGCCACGGCUAACUCUGUGCCAGCAGCCGCGGUAAUACAGAGGUGGCAAGCGUUGUUCGGAAUUAUUGGGCGUAAAGAGCACGUAGGUGGGUUUGUAAGUCAGAUGUGAAAGCCUUCUGUUCAACGGAAGAAUUGCAUCUGAAACUGCGAGUCUUGAGUGUAGGAGGGGAGAAUGGAACUUCUGGUGGAGCGGUGAAAUGCGUAGAUAUCAGAAGGAGCGCCGGCGGCGAAAGCGAUUCUCUGGCCUAUUACUGACACUCGGUGUGCGAAAGCUAGGGGAGCAAACGGGAUUAGAUACCCCGGUAGUCCUAGCUGUAAACGAUGGGCACUAAGUAGAGGGGUUUUA